CAUGUGCAUUUCCACUAGGCUUUUCAAAUUAGCAUUUUAUUUUAAGAUAACUUAAAUAAAAUUGCCUAGAAGUUCCUCUAGAUUAUUUCAAGUUACUCCUAAUUGCAAAAAGACCCCUCUUCAAUACUUACUCAUUAAGAUCCAAGCCUCUCCAAUUCUAUAAAUACCACCCUCUCCUCUUCAUUUCCACACACCAAAAAAAUCAGCUAAGUCCCCUUCUCAUUCCCCCUCUCCAUCGAUCAAAAUAGCCCAAGUAGAAGAAGAAAUCUCUUCUACUAAUUCAAGCCUUCCCCAUUAAAUAUAUUCCUCUUUUCUUCCUUAAUUUCGAAAUUUGUAGUGUGGUAAAGUUCAAGAACUCUUUUCAUUUAAAUAAAAGAGGUUCUUCAAAAAGAAGUUGGUUUGCAAAUAUCCACAAAGUUCUUCAAAUUUUGAAAAGAUCCUAAGGUAACUCAUGAUCCGAAUCCGAGGAGCAAAGUUGAACCAAGUUCGAGGAAAGCCGAGGGAUCGAGCCGUAUGGAAAUUAUGUGGAUUUUAAAAAACUUUCGUUUUGGUACGUAAAUCUUUUAGUGGAUUGUAAUCCGUAGUACUUGAACAUGUUACCGGGAAAUGAUUUUAACCCUUAUGUAUAA